CUCGCCGCUGGAUGCAGACUCAGCGGCUUCUACCAUUGGCGCAAACCGUCCUCGCCAUAGCAACAAGGUUCCCGCUCUAGGUAUGAGGAACAUGAUGUCGUAAAGCCGUAAAGUGUCGUAAAUCAGGUGCGGAGCCGGGAGGCGCAGAACGUGGCUCGAGCAGUCCGACGGUCCCAGGAGUAGCAGACGGAUGGUCGCGGGUGUGAGCGCAGAAAGCCGACGAGCCAGCGGUGCAAUAACGAACAAGACUUAGAAAUUACAUCAGUGAAGAAGAAGAAAGGUCUGAUGGAAGUGAAUACCACCACCCACAGGUAGUUGUGAGACAACUCCAGUGACAACGGGAUGACACCGUAAUACAACCGCCUAAGUCAGAGGCUUCGCUUGAGGAGCAUGGACAGCACCAUGAGCUCUGCAUGGCUGGUGUGGGCUGGGACUGCACUGUACGGCAAGUGGCAACGCACCUGAGGGUCUGCACCCUGGGUGGGAACUAUGUAUGGUUCACGGGAUCCAUGUCGUAAGUUCUGCUGCAGGGUGGAGAGUAUCUUCUGUACACCUGUUUCUGCUCAUGUCUCUUAUCAGACCUGGAUCUUGCCUUCCCUUUCCAGUUUAAGAAAUUGCAAGAACAACCAUCCAACAUCCUCUGGUGUUAGCUGCAUGGGGAAUCUUUGACCAUUGGACAAAGCAAAACAUCCAUAAGUCUUCCUCAGGAGUAUGAUCAUUCAUACUGACAACGUGCACUACACUAGGUCCAGGAUAGAAGCAAACAGAUGAAAGCCUAAGACCCUGCAAGAUGUUGAGACUUCAAGACUGUAGGAGCCUUAAUCCCUGACUCACCCCUUGGGGAAAGCUGCCUCCUGACCAUGGAAACACACACUUGACUUUUACAGGAGCAGAAACAUCUAUUUGGCUCAACUGUUAGGCAGGAAGCUAGAGACACUCUGCUUUAUUAUCUUCAAGGCAAGAAGAGACAGCAUGACAGUGGCCCUAAUACAGGGGGACUUGAGUUGGUACCUGACUUUGCUGCUUACCACCUGUGCAUCUGGGGUAAGCCUUGCAGCUACUGUCAACUUCAGUUUCCUCAUCUGGCCAGUUGGAAACAGUCAUCUGCUCUAAGUCCUAGGACACGUACAAGGAUCACAGAAAAUACUGUAUCCCUUAGCACAGGACCUGCCUUUGACUGAACACUUAAUGAAGGGUAAUUCUUAUGUAAAAUGUACAUAAAUAAACAUUAUGCAUGCAUUAUAUGUUACUAACUGCUGGUACCUUAAAUGUGGGACUCUAUAAUUCUAUUGCUGAUAUUGUAUUGGAAUUGUGGCCCAUCACCUAUUAAAAUAGCACUGUCUCACCUCUAUCUACAAUGAAUGUCUGGGCAAUUGCCCAUGACAGUGAAAAUUUGAAAAAAAAUCUUAAGUUCUUGCAACAUGGAAUUCAUUAAAUAAAUUAUAAUACCUAUAUAGGAUGGACCGCUAUGCAGCUAUUGAAAUUAUGGUAUAUUGAAGUGUUAUGUGUAUUUAAUGGAUGUUUGUAGGACCCUUGUUUUCUCAUCUGUGAAACCAGAAACCUGUAUUAGAGAUGAUUCUUAGUCACCUUGAGCUAUUUUCUUCCUCUGUAUCUGUAGGUCUUCAUUGUAAUUUAGUUCUUUAGUUUCUUAUCUGUGGGGAAGUUGGGGUUCCUAUGGCCAGGAUCCUCACUGAUCUUAAACCACUUGAUGAUGUAACUGGCUUGUUGCUAGGCUACUGCCUCUAUACCCAUAGGCAAUGAGCUAUUACUGCGCUAUAUGGAGAGCUUGGCCCAGUGCUCUGGGCAGAGGCAGAGACGCUAGUGCCUGACCUACUGCUAGGAGAAUAAGUCGGAUAAUAAACCCUUUCAC